ACAUAAAUAAGUCAAUUGCGACAUGAAGUUUCAACAACAUAUAACUUAUCAUUUAGACAACCAACUACCAAAGAAAUAUGUAUCAUGCUUUAAACAAAUAAUAGGCAACCAUUAGUAGUAUUGGUGAACCUUAAUUUUCAAAUAAUGAAGAACGUGAGGUAGUAAAAUGGCCUACACAAUGAUGUGUUCAUAAUGGAAAACAUAUGUUUUUAAUGAUAAACAAGCUGCACAUUUGACCGACACACCUCACACAAUAUUCAAAAUUAAAACUAUCUGUAAGAGCCUAAAAAUGCCAACUAAUCGCACAAAAAAAAAUAAGAAUAAAAAAUUAGAAUGCUAAAGGCACUUAGCAGACCCAAUUAGUUUAAGCAAAAGAAGAGAAAAGACCCUAUUCCAAUAUUAUAUAUAACAACACUACUACACAAACUAACAAGUUGCAAGCACAAAUAUGCACAGACAAACACAACAUCCAUAGGAAAGGGCAUUUGUUGAGCAGUAGCACUUAACGCAGUGAACGAAAAUGCUAAGUAACAUGGAAACUAUCCUCAUUAAUAGUGUAUUGACACUUAACCAUAUAUUCAACAAACCCAAACUAAAACAAGGUCUAGGUUCUAAUAAAAUAAACAACAAUAUGGCUUAACACGUGAUCUGUAAGAUCUCACUUGCACGCUGCCGAAAAUCAACUAAGCAUAAGCUCAUUCUUUAUCAUAGUAGACUAGUACAAAGAUUGUAUAACAUAUAACCAAACCACUAGCAAUUGACUUUAAACUAAAGCAAAACUAGCACGCUAUACACAUGAAAAAUCAGCGCCAAUAAGUUCAUGCUCCACAGAAUCUUAAAAGACAAAACUUAACUUUAACAAAACUAAGAUUUUAGGCAGAAAGAUGGUAUAGACUUGUUCAAAAUGGGUCAUGUUAGACAAUAGAAAGUUAGUUGAGAUUUCGCCUUUACAUGUAUAACAACAUUAACAACAACAACCCAGGAUAGCUCGAUACUCAAAGACAACAAAAUACAAGUAAAGCCAAAAAAAAAUUCAACAACAUAUAGGCGAAACCAAUUCAAGACAAGGGACGAUAAAUAUACAAAAAUAAUCUAAAA
rnacentral:lncRNA from 1 species